GAUGAACGCUGGCGGCGUGCCUAAUACAUGCCAGUCGAGCGAACGGACGAGAAGCUUGCUUUUCUGAUGUUAGCGGCGGACGGGUGAGUAACACGUGGAUAACCUACCUAUAAGACUGGGAUAACUUCGGGAAACCGGAGCUAAUACCGGAUAAUAUUUUGAACCGCAUGGUUCAAAAGUGAAAGACGGUCUUGCUGUCACUUAUAGAUGGAUCCGCGCUGCAUUAGCUAGUUGGUAAGGUAACGGCUUACCAAGGCAACGAUGCAUAGCCGACCUGAGAGGGUGAUCGGCCACACUGGAACUGAGACACGGUCCAGACUCCUACGGGAGGCAGCAGUAGGGAAUCUUCCGCAAUGGGCGAAAGCCUGACGGAGCAACGCCGCGUGAGUGAUGAAGGUCUUCGGAUCGUAAAACUCUGUUAUUAGGGAAGAACAUAUGUGUAAGUAACUGUGCACAUCUUGACGGUACCUAAUCAGGAAGCCACGGCUAACUACGUG
rnacentral:rRNA from 1 species